NNNNNGGCGAGGCCGACAGGCGUAGUCGAUGGUCAACGGGUUGAUAUUCCCGUACCCGUGCAUACGCGCCCAAGUGCGAAGCGGUGAUACUAACCACCCUGACCACCCGCCAUGCAUUCCUUUGGUUUGCGGGUGGGUGUGAUGCGUGGGGCCUGAUCCGUUGUAGUUCAGUGAUGGGGUGACGCAGUCAGGUAGCUACGCCACUUAAGUGGAUUGUGGUGCAAGCGUGUGGCACAUGGACUAGUCAAAUGCGGUCCUGUUUGUGUGAGGCGUGAUGCGUAGCCCAUAUGUGGGUGAUGGUGGUGAUCCUAUGCUGUCGAGAAAAGCCUCUAGCGAUGUGUGUGUACGG
rnacentral:ncRNA from 1 species